UACGUAGGGGGCAAGCGUUGUCCGGAUUCAUUGGGCGUAAAGAGCGUGUAGGCGGCCAGGUAGGUCGGUUGUGAAAACUGGAGGCUCAACCUUCAGAGGUCGACCGAAACCAUCUGGCUAGAGUCCGGAGAGGAGAGUGGAAUUCCGUGGUGUAGCGGUGAAAUGCGCAGAUAUCAGGGAGAACACCCGUAGCGAAGGCGGCACUCUGGGCCGGUACUGACGCUGAGGAGCGAAAGCGUGGGGAGCAAACAGGAUUGAGACUACCCGUAGUCAGAU
rnacentral:rRNA from 1 species